GGGCAAGAGGUUCGACUCGAGCGAAGCGAGAGAACGUUGCGCCAGCAACGGCCCGCAGGGCGAGCCAC
rnacentral:sRNA from 5 species